UAAAGCUGUUGGGCAGUUAAGGAACUAUAGGAUGGCAAGUCUGCUUGGAUGUUGCUAUGAAGGUGAAGAGAGACUUCUUGUUCAUGAGUUUAUGCCUAACGAAACUCUGGCUAAGCAUCUUUUCCACUGGGAGUCGCAACCUAUGAAGUGGGCAAUGCGAGUAAGAGUAGCUUUACAUAUUGCUCCUGCUGGUAUUCCCCGUGGUGCUUGCCGUGGAACUGCUGAUAUGAGUGACUUAACUAGGUUGUAAACUAGGUUGUGGCUGUGAUUGUGUGUAUUUUGGCUGGUAAAGCUGCUGGAGCUUAAGUGAUUGUUGUUCCUUCUCUGCUUAAACAAACACAUCUUUUUCUUCUCUGCCUAAAGUAAAGUUUGAAGUUAGUC